rnacentral:lncRNA from 1 species
UGGGAAGAUAAUAUUUAAGGUGAGUCUAGAAGGGUGAGAAUGGACAGGCACUGCAAACAAUAAGGGGUGGAAAAAAAGGCUUGUGUGCCUGGGGCUGGAAGAGAGGCAUGAGCUGGAGAACAGCAGGAGUCUCUCCCUGUUCCCUUUCCCUUUUUGUUUCUACAUUCCUGGGGGUGCAGGGAGCUCUUAGUACAGGGAACUUUUGAGCACUGGGAGAAUAGACUCCAGGCUCACAGAGGCAGUUGGAUCCUUGCUGUCUAGUAGUGGAGGUCUUCACAGCACCUAUGCAUACCCCAGGUUGUUCACACAGCGCUGGUCAGAGCAUCCAGACCAGAGCAAAUCCAUCUCAGCAGUUUUCUAAAUGUAUCUUCAGGAUAUGGGGAAGUGGCAAUUUAAAAAGAAAAUGAGCGCCUGAUGAACAUUCAAUGAAGAAAUCAAUAUUUCUUGAGCACCUCUUCCCAGUCAUGGUGGAGAUGAGGGUCUGGGGCAGUGGGAAUAUGGGUGGAGAGACUCUCUGGAAGCAGAAUCAUCAGAUUUGGUGAUUGAUUACAGGUGGGGAGUGAGGGUGGGGGCAAAGAGGACACUAAGUCUACAGCUUGGAGCCAGCCAAGGCAGAAGGGUGGCUGGCUGGGAGGGAGGAGGACAAGGAC